AAAAAUAGGAUUUUCUAAUGAUAGGAAGACUCUUGAGAGAGUAAUCAGAUAUCAUUGUUAACACGUAGGACAUAAUUUCUGCAGUUGCUGGACUCAUUCGCAAUGUGAACAUGGUGAAGCAAAUUCGACACGGCCUCUUCAAGCAAGUGAAGGUUUCUGAGAAGGUGAAGAAUAUGCAGAUGCUGGUAAACAAUUGUCACAACCUUGGGAUCAUUAGAACGCAAAUGGAUGAGAACAUUGCGGAGUAGCAACCCACUGUCAAAGAAAACACGGAGAACGAGGCGUUCGAAGCAAAACAGAGAAAAGAAAAGAAGGAAAGGAACUUGUGAAGCAGCAACGGGCACAGCUGUGAAGGAUGGGAAACAAGUAGAACAACGUUUGGAGAAAGGGGAGGGAGAGUGAUCCGCAGCGAACGAGAACGCGUCUUCACACAAUCACGUCCAAGCAGAAGCCGAUCAUCCACAACCACAGCGAAGCCUCAACAUAGAGGAGCAGUUGGUAGGUGACGGCUGAGCAGCGGGGAAAGUAUUUUUAAGACCUAGCUGGGAGCAGUAGCAGUGGUUAGUGUGUCGUUUGAAAGCCCCGACACUUAUGAACGUAGUGAGACUAAGGAUAUCCUUCAACCUAGAAUCCAUACACUGCAGAAGUUGAAUAUCGUGAAAUGCUACGUAAGUGAGCUUACUGCCUUCUGAGUCCAUGAUGUGAACGCAGCUAGUUGUUUCUCUCUUUUCUCUGUUUAACGCUUCCUCUCUCACCCUUUUGCCACUUGCAGUAGGUCGCCGAAGCCAAGCGAAUCGUUAUUUAUUUAUUUAUUUAUUUUUACUUUUUUUUUUUUGAUUCUAAUGUCAAUUUUGGCUGGAUCUUGUUAGCCCGGUGUUUCUAGUGCUGGAUCCAGAUAGAAUACACCGUUGUUCGAUAGUUGGUUUAUCGUUGGAGGGCCGCGGAUAUCCUUCAAUUAGACUCUUGGAUUGGUGAAGUUUGUGUAGGAGCCUCUCAGUGUUAGCUAUCCGACGAACCAAUAAUUUAUUAGAAUUGAAGUCAGGACGGAGUUGUGGCAACAAUUCAAGUGAAGAGUGGUCCGCUGCGUUGACAGGUUGGAUCUCCCAACUUCGCAGAAGCAACUUUCGAUUCUCAACCAUUGGAUUGCUGCUGGUGGUGCUGAAGCCGCGUGAUGUCUGGUUGCAACAAGCCAAGAAUCGUCCAAAUCGGAGCACCAAGGAGAUGAGAGCGGCUGUUUGAAUAAAGGGAGGUCCUCGUGUUAGGAGCUUGGUCAAAGGCAAGAGAACUUUUACUUUCCUUUCAGUUGUUGCAUAAAUCUCUUAACUUACGUGUUUACAGGACCUAAUCUAGUUUUUUCAGAAUUGGUUCAAUAAAGGUCAGAACAGGUUUAUCUUAACCAAUCCUGUCUGCCCAGUUAUGACAAAGCCAUAAACAUUCCAGUGCGAAACUGAGGUACAUGUAACAUGGACACUCCCUACGAGUCCCAGAAACACGGAAAAUUUAUCAUCAAUGUGAUGAUUUUUAGCUAGCCAGUCCCUCCUCCACGACGUGGUCAAGGAAUCAAUUUGUUACACAAGCAGGGAUGGACAACGUGGACGAAAAACUGAGCAAGUAACUUGAUGGUUAGAGUUCCUACCGACAAUUGCAGAUAGGCAACGUUGUUCAGAAUUCAGUGUUGUAAAGGUGUUCGAAAUUUAGUACCGAUUUGUAAGUGCUCAUGAGCUAAGGUGGUUGUUCAUUAAAACACAUAAUUGUGGUGUAUGGUUGGCAGCGGAAAUUCCUCGUGAGACAGGUAGUGAAGUUUAUAGUGUAGUGAAAAAUUCAUGUAAGCAGCUUGGCUGUCGAUAAAACCAUCGGCUUUGCUGAAGAAUUUCAUGUGAGCAUCUAGCAUCUGGAGUUCGGAUAGCUUCUUGUGAUACUCAUAUUCUCCCUACAAUUAUGAUACCAUUAUCAUCCGUCAGCCUCAUCUCCAUUUCCUGAGUUUCUCUCGAAGGCAGCUUCGCCUACCCACUUUCAUUCCUGUGAAGGGAUUUGAAGAUUGAACGACUUUGAGCCGCCACUGCAUAGACGAGCAAUUCCAUUUCUUCCAGCACAACUGCUAUCGCAGCUACUCCAGGCUCGUUUUCCACAUCUUCCACAUUGCGGUGAGACUUCCAGAUUGGAUGAAUUGCUGCAUUGGAUGGAUGACUAAUUGAGUUGGAUAAAGUUAGGUUAGGAAUUUAAUAAACUAGGAUGAACACUUGAAUGAAUACUUAUUUAUGGAUGAAUUCUCAUCCUUAGAUGAUAUCUCAUUCAUGGAUGAAGUAUUAUAUAAAGAUGAAUUUUCGUCAA